CAGCCGCCGCGGUAAUACCGGCGGCCCGAGUGGCGGCCACUAUUAUUGGGCCUAAAGCGUCCGUAGCCGGGCUGGUAAGUCCUCCGGGAAAUCUGGUCGCUUAACGAUCAGACUUCCGGAGGAUACUGCUGGCCUAGGGACCGGGAGAGGCCGAGGGUAUUCCCGGGGUAGGGGUGAAAUCCUGUAAUCCCGGGAGGACCACCUGUGGCGAAGGCGCUCGGCUGGAACGGGUCCGACGGUGAGGGACGAAGGCCAGGGGAGCGAACCGGAUUAGAUGCCCGGGUAGUCCUGGCUGUAAACGAUGCGGACUAGGUGUCGGGCAAGCUAAGGGCUUGUCCGGUGCCGCAGGGAAGCCGUUAAGUCCGCCGCCUGGGGAGUACGGCCGCAAGGCUGAAACUUAAAGGAAUUGGCGGG
rnacentral:rRNA from 1 species